rnacentral:rRNA from 1 species
GACGUAGGGCGCGAGCGUUGUCCGGAUUUAUUGGGCGUAAAGAGCUCGUAGGCGGCUCGUUGCGUCGGCUGUGAAAACCCGCGGCUCAACCGCGGCCUGCAGUCGAUACGGGCAGGCUAGAGUUCGGUAGGGGAGACUGGAAUUCCUGGUGUAGCGGUGAAAUGCGCAGAUAUCAGGAGGAACACCAGUGGCGAAGGCGGUGCUCUGGGCCGGAACUGACGCUGAGGAGCGAAAGCGUGGGGAGCAAACAGG